rnacentral:rRNA from 1 species
UACGUAGGGGUCCGAGCGUUGUCCGGAAUUACUGGGCGUAAAGGGCGCGUAGGCGGCACUGUUAGUCAGGCGUGAAAUUCCUGGGGCUCAACCUGGGGGACUGCGCUUGAUACGGCAGAGCUUGAGGAUGGAAGAGGGUCGCGGAAUUCCCAGUGUAGAGGUGAAAUUCGUAGAUAUUGGGAAGAACACCGGUGGGCGAAGGCGGCCACUCUGGGCCGUAACUGACGCUGAGGAGCGAAAGCGUGGGUAGCAAACAGG